AUUGAACGCUGGCGGAAUGCUUUACACAUGCAAGUCGAACGGCAGCACGGACUUCGGUCUGGUGGCGAGUGGCGAACGGGUGAGUAAUGUAUCGGAACGUGCCCAGUCGUGGGGGAUAACGUAGUGAAAAUUACGCUAAUACCGCAUACGAUCUAUGGAUGAAAGCGGGGGAUCGCAAGACCUCGCGCGAUUGGAGCGGCCGAUAUCAGAUUAGGUAGUUGGUGGGGUAAAGGCCCACCAAGCCAACGAUCUGUAGCUGGUCUGAGAGGACGACCAGCCAGACUGGAACUGAGACACGGUUCAGACUCCUACGGGAGACAGCAGUGGGGAAUUUUGGACAAUGGGCGCAAGCCUGAUCCAGCCAUUCCGCGUGCAGGAUGAAGGCCCUCGGGUUGUAAACUGCUUUUGUACAGAACGAAAAGGUUUCUACUAAUACUAGGAGCUCAUGACGGUACUGUAAGAAUAAGCACCGGCUAACUACGUGCCAGCCGCCGCCGUAA
rnacentral:rRNA from 1 species